rnacentral:rRNA from 1 species
AAAUUGAAGAGUUUGAUCAUGGCUCAGAUUGAACGCUGGCGGCAGGCCUAACACAUGCAAGUCGAACGGUAACAGGAAACAGCUUGCUGUUUCGCUGACGAGUGGCGGACGGGUGAGUAAUGUCUGGGAAACUGCCUGAUGGAGGGGGAUAACUACUGGAAACGGUAGCUAAUACCGCAUAAUGUCGCAAGACUAAAGAGGGGGACCUUCGGGCCUCUUGCCAUCGGAUGUGCCCAGAUGGGAUUAGCUAGUAGGUGGGGUAA